CUACGGGUGGCACCAGUGGGGAAUAUUGGACAAUGGGGGAAACCCUGAUCCAGCAAUGCCGCGUGUGUGAAGAGGGCCUGCGGGUUGUAAAGCACUUUCGGUUGGGAGGACUGCUUCUAGCACUAAUAUUGUUGGAAGUUGACGUUACCUUCAGAAGAAGCACCGGCUAACUCCGUGCCAGCAGCCGCGGUAAUACGGAGGGUGCAAGCGUUAAUCGGAAUUACUGGGCGUAAAGCGCGCGUAGGCGGCUAGAUCAGUCGGGUGUGAAAGCCCAGGGCUUAACCUGGGAACUGCAUCCGAUACUGUCUAGCUUGAGUACAGGAGAGGAGAGUGGAAUUCCACAUGUAGCGGUGAAAUGCGUAGAUAUGUGGAGGAACACCAAUGGCGAAGGCAGCUCUCUGGCCUGAUACUGACGCUGAGGUGCGAAAGCGUGGGGGGCAAACAGGAUUAGAUACCCUUGUAGUC
rnacentral:rRNA from 1 species